rnacentral:misc_RNA from 1 species
UCCCUGUUGCCAGGGCAGUCUAGCUAGAAAAAUACAACUAACUACAAGGGUUGCGCUCGUUGAUGGACUUAACCAAACAUCUCACGACACGAGCUGACGACGGCCAUGCAUCACCUGUCACUUGGUUCACAAGGCACAGUCUACUUUCGUAGACCUUCCAAGGAUGUCAAGCCUGGGUAAGGUUCUUCGCUUAUCAUCGAAUUAAACAACACGCUCCACCGCUUGUGCGGGUCCCCGUCAAUUCCUUUAUGUUUUAGUCUUGCGACCGUACUCCACAGGCGGGAUGCUUAACGCGUUAGCUUCGCCACAUCCGGGGUCGAUACCGAAUACGGCUAGCAUCCAUAGUUUACGGCGUGGACUAC